AUGCACUGGCGCUGCCAUUGGCCCGCUGCCCGACCUGCAAGGAGAAGGUGCGCAUGUAUGUCUCCACAACAGAGAAGCACGAUGGAUGGGUGUUUUACAAGUGCCAGAAGCAUGGGGUCACUUGUGAUUUCUAGCGGUGGGAGUUGGGAGUAUGUUGAGCACCUAGUUGAGAAGCAGUAUCUCGUUGGUGAUGUGACGGUGGAUGCUAUUGGUGCGACGGAGGAACGCAGGGAGGAACUUUUGAAAGCACAAGAACUGUUCUAUAUGAAUGGGUUUGUCAGCAAUGUUAAGAAGGUUUUGAAGAAGAAUGACAGUAACAAUCUGAUGACCAGGCAGCAAGCUGUUGCACUUAUGAUGCUUGGGAGAGAGCUGGUGAUGCUCAUGAAGAUGUUGGUUGGUGUUGUGGUGGUGCUAGGUCUUGCAGCAUUGGUGGUGAUCAUGCUGAAGAAGUGA
rnacentral:rRNA from 1 species